rnacentral:sRNA from 1 species
UGAAGGAAAUUGAUAAGAAUGACCACUUGUACAUUCUUCUCAGCACCUUAGAGCCCACUGAUGCAGGCAUACUGGGAACGACUAAGGACUCACCCAAGCUGGGUCUGCUCAUGGUGCUUCUUAGCAUCAUCUUCAUGAAUGGAAAUCGGUCCAGUGAGGCUGUCAUCUGGGAGGUGCUGCGCAAGUUGGGGCUGCGCCCUGGGUAUGAUUGGGCUCUCUCAGCGCUUGCUGUCCAUGUUGUCCUUUGGCAAGAGAGGACGGUCCUAGGAUUGCAUCAGUCUGGUGGUCUGGUGGAGCGGGUGGGGUGCUGGACUGGGUAGAGGGCCCAGGGUUCUGACCUGGGUGGAUGAUGGGCGAAUGGUCCUGAACUCUCUGC